rnacentral:rRNA from 1 species
GAUGAACGCUGGCGGCGUGCCUAAUACAUGCAAGUCGAGCGGACAGACGAGGCGCUUGCUUCUCUUACGUUACCGGCGGACGGGUGAGUAACACGUGGCUACCCUGCCUUUAAGAAUGGGAUCACUUCGGGAGCGCUGAUCCCAUAUCCGUUAAUAUAUUGAACCGCAUGGUUCAUUAGUGAUCGCCGUUUUUGCUGUCCCUUAUAGAUGGUUCCGAGUCGGAUUAGCUAGUUGGUACGGUAACGGCUUACCAAGGCAACGAUGCGUAGCUGAUCUGAGAGGAUGAUCGGCCACACUGGAACUGAGACACGGUCCAGACUCCUACGGGAGGCAGCAGUAGGGAAUCUUCGGCAAUGGGCGAAAGCCUGACGGAGCAAUGCCGCGUGAGUGAUGAAGGUCUUCGGAUCGUAAAACUCUUUUAGUAGGGAAGAAGAAAUGUGUAAUUAUCUAUGCACGUCUUGACGGUACCUAAUCAGAAAGCCACGGCUAACUACGUG